AGGGAAUAGAUACCCUGGUAGUCCACGCCGUAAACGUUGUGCGCUAGGUGUAGGAGGUAUCGACCCCUCCUGUGCCGGAGCUAAACGCAUUAAGCGCACCGCCUGGGGAGUACGCCCGCAAGGGUGAAACUCAAAGGAAUUGACGGGGGCCCGGCACAAGCGGUGGAGCAUGUGGUUUAAAUUCGAGGCAACGCGAAGAACCUUACCCAGGCUUGACAUCCCGCGCUACCCUGUGAAAGCAGGGGUUCUCCUUCGGGGGACGCGGAGACAGGUGUUGCAUGGCUGUCGUCAGCUCGUGUCGUGAGAUGUUGGGUUAA
rnacentral:rRNA from 1 species